rnacentral:rRNA from 1 species
UACGUAGGGUGCGAGCGUUGUCCGGAAUUAUUGGGCGUAAAGAGCGUGUAGGCGGCCAGGUAGGUCGGUUGUGAAAACUGGAGGCUCAACCUUCAGACGUCGACCGAAACCAUCUGGCUAGAGUCCGGGAGAGGAGAGUGGAAUUCCGUGGUGUAGCGGUGAAAUGCGCAGAUAUCAGGAAGAACACCCGUGGCGAAAGCGGCUCUCUGGAACGGUACUGACGCUGAGACGCGAAAGCGUGGGGAGCGAACAGG